AAAAAAAAAGUCUGCUGUGUUCUUUGCUCUUGGUUCUCAUAGCAAAUUGAGUUGAAGGUAGCCAACAGUACCAGUGCCACAGCCGGGAUGCUGUGUAGUCAUGAAACAUUCUCCAGCAGAUGAACUUCCAUCAGCUUUAAGCUGAUCUCCCACAAAGUCUCAAGGCAGGGACAUAAUGCGUCAGAUUUUUUACCAAGGUGUAGCAGAGACAGCCUCUAGUCUAGUCCCCAGUAGAGUCCUUAUUUACAUCUGAAACCUCAUGAACAUAACCCUCACUCUGCUAUUAAGAGUCUGGAAUUCUGAGUCCUCAUCAGAACUACCCAUGAAGCUCUGACUCUACAAUUUCUAGGUUCCAGAUCCUCAAAACUUCUCAGAUUCCUCCUGCACACCAGUUAUUCAGUUCCACAGCACCUCAGGUGUAAUCACAGCUAUGACACACCUCCUGGUUCCAAUUUUCUAUUAGCUUCUUGUACUUCAGGAAAUACCCAAGACAACCCAUUGUGUUUUGUUUCAGUCUGGAACUCACUAUGGAACCAGACUGGCCUCAAACUCACAAUCCUUUCAUUGCAGCCUUCCAAGUGCUGGGAUUUCAGACAUGCAUCACCAUGUCUAAUUAGAAAAUAAUCCCAUAAUAUGGAAAGUUUCAGAGGUACCUCUCCGUGAUGGCUUGGUCUAGUUACUUCAGACCUGUUGCACCACCAUACAUUAUGGUGGAAACAUAGGAGAGAAGAUCUCUUUACCAAGCAAGUGAAGAGAGAAACAGGAAGGGCCAAGGGGCACCAGUAGCUGCUUUAAAGACACAUCUCCAAUGACUUCACUUCUUGCCAUUGAGCUUCAUCUCCUAAUGGUCCCAGCACCUCCUUUAGAGGCUUAGACUAGAGAUAACCCCAUCAGCAUGAGGGGCUUUGGAGAUCCUUGCCCAAGCUAUACCACAGCCUAAAUGUCACAUACAAAAAGCAAACCCAGAAAGUUAAGGUAUCUUAGAAAUAAAUUCUCCACUUCUAGUGGAGAUUAUUAGAAUCUAAUUAGAUGAUUAGAUUAUUAGAAUCUAAUUAGGCCAGGACCUGUUCUAUUGGAUAUGGUAGUGAGACAGUUUCAGUAGUCCAUAUGAGGACAAUGUCCCAGGACAGCAGUUCUGAAUUCGAAGUUACUGCUCCAGCAGCAUCUUGGGAACCAGGGGCUCCAGGUUCUGUCACAGUCCCCUCAGUUGAUGCAGACAAUGGCUUGAGAGUCCUGUGCUGGGCGGAAGAAAGGAAGUGUUAGAAACUGGUAAGGGGAGUGAUCUCUGCUAACUUCUCAUUUGUUCCUGCUUUCCUGACGUUUUUGUUAAUAUAAAUGGCUUUAUGUUUACAUGCACACUCAUAGUGUGUACUGUUCAAAUCCAGUCUCCUCUUCCACACUUCCCAACCUCUAGUAAUUACCAGCUUAUAUUCUUAUCGAUUAAAAAAAAAACCCAUGUGUAGUAUUUAUCUUUCUGUAUUUCAUUCACUGAUGUAAAUUCCUUUGUGAUUAAAUGAAAUUCCAGUGUGUGUGUGUAUAUAUAUAUAUAUAUCACAUAUUUUCCAAUCUAUCCAUCUGUUGAGCACCUGUUUUGAUUCACAAGUAUAUCUAUUGUGAAUGUUGUUCCAAUAAACACAGGCAUGCAAGUGCAUCCUUGAUAUUCUGAUGUCAUUUCCUUUGCAGCCCCAUGUGGAGUCUCUGUGUUAUAUGGUAGAUUUAUUUAUAUAUCUUUUGAAAAGCCUCACUGUUCUCCGUGGCUGUAGUAGCUAAUGUUCAUCUCAUCAAUGUAUGAGUGCCUUCCAUCUGUCUCCCUAGCAUUUGCUGUUUUAUUUAUAAUCUCCAUUCUAACUUAGGUGAGACGGCAUUUUGUUGUUUUAGUCUGCAUCCCCUUAAGGUUAAUUACACUGAGACCUUUUCAUCCAUUUAUUGGUUACCUGCAGGUCUUCUGAGAAGUGUCUGCUCAGUCCAUCUUUUGCUCUUUAUUUUAUUUUUUCUUGAUUUUACUUUUCUCUGUGGUUAAGGCCUUUAGUUCCUUGUGUGGAGCAGAGGCUGAAGCCCCCAUCAGGGGAAGAGUUUACAGCUGUGUUAUCCCGAGUUGUGUGGCGUUUACAGAUGUUUUCUUCCCUGUUGUGUGACGUCUCUUCGCUCUUCUUUCUCUCUGAUGUAAUUUCACUUUGAGGUCAAAUACAAAACACCAAUCCUUAAUAUCAGUCUUCUGAAGUAUCUUUUCUAUAUUUUGUUCUAGUGAUUUCAGAGUUUCAGGUCUUAUAUUUUGGCCUUUGAUGCAUUUUGUGUUGGUUUUUAUGGUGGAUAACAGAUAGGAGCCAUGUUCCAAUUUUCUAUACAUAAAUGUCUAGUGUGUCUGUUGAAAAGACUAUCCUCUCUAUAGUAUAUAAUUUUGUCACCUCAUCCAAGAAUCAGGUGGCUGAAAAUGUGUGAAUUUAUUUCUGGAUCCUCUGUUGUGUUCUACUGGUCUAUAAGGUCAGUUUUAUAAUUUUCUAUUCCUAUGGCUGUAUUGUAUAUCUUGGAAGCAGGUACAUGGCACCUGCAACAUGGCUUUCUGUGCUGGAUGGCUUUGUCAAUGUGGCAGGGCUUUUGUGUGUCCAUGUGAAUUUUUGAAUUGCUUUUUCUAGUUAUCUGAAGAAUAUCAUUAGAAGUUUGAUGAGGAUGGUGUUGUGUUUGUAAAGAGAUUUCAGCAAUAUAGAUAUUUAAACUGUAGUUUCUCCAAUUCAUGAACACAACCAGUCUUUCCAUUUGUGUGUACAUGCACACACAUGUGUAUAGCUGUGUUUGUGUGUGUGUGUGUGUGUGUGUGUGUGUGUGUUUUCCAAUUUAUUUUAUCAGUGUUUUGUAAUUUUCUUUGCAGAGGUCCUUCACUUCCUAAGUUAAAAUUUAUAUCUAUGUGUCUUCGUAGCUAUUGUGAUGAAAUUGCUUUUAUCUUAGCAUGUGCUAUCUUAGAGUGUGCUAUUUGAACCAUUCAAAUAAGUGGUAUUUAAGCCCAGGCUAGCCCAGGCUCAGCAUGCAGAGCUCAUCUCUUUCCCAUGGUGCUGUGUGUCCAAGAGUAAUAAGGUCAUGGAUUGUACCAAACUGCCUGCAAACACACCUAGCAUGUAGGGACGUGAGUGCUUAGUGCUUCAGUCAAUUUGUUUUUAUCUUAUUCAGCUGCUUUGAGCUUUAGCCCAGCCUCUACCUGAGCUUUAUUUUUGUUUCAUCUGCUCACCGUCCCUAUAGAAAAUGUUUCCUCAUAAGCUUCAGACCAGUGGGUAGAUGGUGCCUGCUUUGUCAACCCUUUUGCUCACACAGGGAAGGACAGUUCUCUGCAGGACCUGGCCGCAGUCAUUUUCUGGGUUUCUUCACGUACUGAACGUGAAACAGUUAAUUCACACGUGGCUGCUCGCCUAACCACAGGGUUCAUCUCACGGUAUGGUUGAACUCAGGAAGGAUAAAGAGUCAAAAUAAGAGGGGCUUUCCUAGCAUGUUUGCAGAGGAAACUGCGGUUGCUGAGCUUCUGAACAGAGGAAAGCAGCAGCAGGUGAGAAGCCAGUGAACUGUUAUCAGAGAUCUCACCUAGGUCUCCUCCAGGGCUCACUCUGACCACAAUUACCUGUUUACACACACUAAAGAAGUGGGUGUGAACGAAGGCAGAGGAACUGGAGGAGGGCCCCAGUAAGAGAACCAGAACCCAGCUCUACUGUGGGAGGCACAGUGAGGGGAAGGGACAUGGCAACCCCUGAGGUGAUUUUUUCAUUCUCCAUAAGAAAAAUGUCCCAUAGAAGGAACAUCAAUAUGAACUAACCAGUACCCCCAGAGUUCCUUGGAACUAUACCACCAAUCAAAGAAAACACAUGGUGGAACUUGUGGCUUUAGCUAUAUAUGUAGCAGAGGAUGGCCUAGUCUGUCAUCAAUGGGAGGAGCGGCCCUAGCUCCUGUGAAGGUUCUAUGCCCCAGUAUAGGGAAAUGCCAGGACCAGGAAUGGGAGUGGGUGGGUUGGGGAGCAGGGAGAUGGGGGAGGGGAUAGGGGAUUUUCGGAGGGGAAACUAGGAAAGGGGAUUAACAUUUGAAAUGUAAAUAAAGAAAAUAUCUAAUAAAAAAGGAAACAAUAAAUCAAAUAAAGAGG
rnacentral:lncRNA from 1 species